rnacentral:rRNA from 1 species
UACCAAGGCGAAGACGCUUAGCUGGUCUGAGAGGAUGAUCAGCCACACUGGGACUGAGACACGGCCCAGACUCCUACGGGAGGGCAGCAGUGGGGAAUAUUGGACAAUGGGCGCAAGCCUGAUCCAGCCACGCCGCGUGAGUGAUGAAGGCCUUCGGGUCGUAAAGCUCUGUGGGGAGGGACGAACGGCGCCAUGAAGAGUGGCGAUUGACGGUACCUCCUUAGCAAGCACCGGCUAACUUCGUGCCAGCAGCCGCGGUAAUACGAAGGGUGCAAACGUUGCUCGGAAUCAUUGGGCGUAAAGCGCACGUAGGCGGCUUUCUAAGUCGGAUGUGAAAUCCCUCGGCUUAACCGAGGACGUGCAUCCGAAACUGGGAGGCUUGAGUAUGGAAGAGGGUCGCAGAAUUCCCGGUGUAGAGGUGAAAUUCGUAGAUAUCGGGAGGAAUACCAG